GCAGGAGGUAGUGUCGUGCACCUGUAGUCCCAGCUACUUCAGAGGCUGAGACAGGAGGAUCACUUGAGUUCAGGAGUUCUGGGCCAUAGUGUGCUCUGCUGAUCAGGUGUCCGCACUAAGUUCAGCAUCAAGAUGGUGACCUCCCAGGAGCAGGGGGGGCCACCAAGUUGCCUAAGGAGGGGUGAACCGGCCCAGGUCUGAAACAGAGUAGGUCAAAACUUCUGUGCUGAUUAGUAGUGAGACUGCACCUAUGAAUAGCCACUACACUCCAGCCUGGGCAACACAGCGAGACCCAUCUCUA
rfam:Otolemur garnettii contig105653, whole genome shotgun sequence.